rnacentral:rRNA from 1 species
GACGAACGCUGGCGGCGUGCUUAACACAUGCCAGUCGAACGGAAAGGCCCUGCUUUUGUGGGGUGCUCGAGUGGCGAACGGGUGAGUAACACUUGAGUAACCUGCCCUUGACUUUGGGAUAACUUCAGGAAACUGGGGCUAAUACCGGAUAGGAUCUCCUGCUUCAUGGUGGGGGUUGGAAAGUUUCGGCGGUUGGGGAUGGACUCGCGGCUUAUCAGCUUGUUGGUGGGGUAGUGGCUUACCAAGGCUUUGACGGGUAGCCGGCCUGAGAGGGUGACCGGCCACAUUGGGACUGAGAUACGGCCCAGACUCAUACGGGAGGCAGCAGUGGGGAAUAGUGCACAAUGGGCGGAAGCAUGAUGCAGCAACGCCGCGUGCGGGAUGACGGCCUUCGGGUUGUAAACCGCUUUCGCCUGUGACGAAGCGUGAGUGACGGUAAUGGGUAAAGAAGCACCGGCUAACUACGUG